CAGCCAUUCCCGGCGGGGAGGGCGGCGCCAGCUCGCGGGGAGUCGGACCCACAGCGGAGGUGCCAGGCUCUGCUCUAAGUACCAGAGACACAGCCAUGAACAGGAAAGUAAGGUCCUUCCUCUCAUGGCAAGUCUAUUCCACUAGGGGAGACACGUAACAGACAAGGAACACAUCGGGGUGCUAAAGGGAACAGGAGAGGAAGACCAAAAUGGCUGCCUUGGAAGGGGUGAGCAUGUGACACGAAGCUGACAGCAGGGGGAAGAGCAUUCAGGCAGAGGGUGAGUGAAAGAACUGGAUCUGAGGCAAAAGCAACUAGGUGGACGGAACCACCAUCCACAGAGUUCCUUAAGCCAGAAAUGCCUUGCUGUCUUGCCACGUCCUCACCCAAGGCAGACAUCACGAACUGAUGAUGACACCUAGACCUGAAACAGGACCUAGGCUCUUGGCAUGCGCUUCUAGAGCUCU